AUGUGUUGCAGCCUGAUAGAGGCCAUCAGAUACACUGGAACUGUAGCAGCUGUGUGAUUGCUGUGAGCCGCCAUGUGGGUGCUUGCAGUUGAAUCUGGAUCCUCUGGAAGAGAAGUGUUCUUAACCAAGGAGGCAUCUCUCCAGCCCCUAGAGCUAUGGGUUGAAGAGCCAGCAGACUCUCUUCGGCACCAUGUACUGGCCUUUUAGAUUCUUCAGAAGAAAUACGUGCCCUGAAACAAUCCAGCUUCCCAGAUACCCUCUGGCACGGUGCUCCCAGGAAGAAGAACUUGGCCUCCUCCGUCCACCAGAGCCUCUCCCGAAGACCCUCAGGCCUCUCAGACAUGAGCUUGGUUCACUUUUAAGCUCACGUCUCUCGAGUGUGACUUUGUUCACCUUCACACACAUUUUCCUAGGUUAACACAACAGACUACCUCUGGUGGCACACUUGUGAACUGUCUCCAGCCCUUCCCUCCUUAGCAGAGCAGCCUUGGCCAUUUUCUUUCCCGAUGACAGAGCCCCUGGGUCAAAGGAUGCAGUUUCAGUUUGAGUUUUUGUUUAAUGAAAAUGGGUGACUAGGUAAGUGUGUGUUGAA